rnacentral:rRNA from 1 species
GGGGAAUUUUCCGCAAUGGGCGCAAGCCUGACGGAGCAACGCCGCGUGAGGGAGGAAGGCCUGUGGGUUGUAAACCUCUUUUCUCAAGGAAGAACACAAUGACGGUACUUGAGGAAUCAGCAUCGGCUAACUCCGUGCCAGCAGCCGCGGUAAGACGGAGGAUGCAAGCGUUAUCCGGAAUUACUGGGCGUAAAGCGUCCGUAGGUGGUUAUAAAAGUCUGUUGUUAAAGCCCACAGCUCAACUGUGGAUCGGCAAUGGAAACUGUAUGACUUGAGUGUGGUAGGGGUAGAGGGAAUUCCUAGUGUAGCGGUGAAAUGCGUAGAUAUUAGGAAGAACACCAGUGGCGAAGGCGCUCUACUGGGCCAUAACUGACACUGAUGGACGAAAGCUAGGGGAGCGAAAGGGAUUAUAUACCCCAGUAGUC